AAGGAAUUGGCGGGGGAGCACUGCAACGUUGUGGAGCGUGCGGUUUAAUUUGGAUUCAACGCCGGAAAACUCACCGGGGGCGACGGUUACAUGAAGGCCAAGCUGAUGACUUUGCCUGAUUUUCCGAGAGGUGGUGCAUGGCCGCCGUCAGUUCGUACCGUAAGGCGUUCUGUUAAAGUCAGAUAACGAACGAGACCUCCUUCACCAUUUGCUAUUCUUCUCUCCGGAGAGGGAACACUAUGGUGGUACCGCCACUGUUAAAGUGGAGGAAGGAGGGGGCAACGGUAGGUCAGUAUGCCCCGAAUCUCCCGGGCUACACGCGCGCUACAAAGGGCAGGACAAUGGGCUUCGACACCGAAAGGUGGAGGCAAUCCUGAAACCUGCUCGUAAUUCGGAUUGAGGGCUGCAAUUCGCCCUCAUGAAGCUGGAAUACGUAGUAAUCGCGGGUCAACAUCCCGCGGUGAAUAUGCCCCUGCUCCUUGCACACACCGCCCGUCAAACCACCUUAGUUGGGUCUGGACGAGGG
rnacentral:rRNA from 1 species